rnacentral:rRNA from 1 species
CGUCAAAUCAUCAUGCCCCUUAUGACCUGGGCUACACACGUGCUACAAUGGGCGGUACAAAGGGCAGCGAAACCGCGAGGUGGAGCCAAUCCCAUAAAGCCGCUCUCAGUUCGGAUUGCAGGCUGCAACUCGCCUGCAUGAAGCCGGAAUUGCUAGUAAUCGCGGAUCAGCAUGCCGCGGUGAAUACGUUCCCGGGCCUU